rnacentral:tRNA from 5 species
GGGUCAUUAGCUCAGUGGUAGAGCAGUUGGCUUUUAACCAAUUGGUCGAAGGUUCGAAUCCCUCAUGACCCACCA